rnacentral:rRNA from 1 species
ACUUAAAAGCUUUCAAACUGGGAUUAGAUACCCCACUAUGCUUAACCGUAAACCUUGGAAAAAUUUGCACGCAUUUACUCGCCUGAAAACUAUAAGCGUAAGCUUAAAACUCAAAGGGUCUGGCGGCACUUUAAACUAUCUAGAGGAGCCUGUCCUAUAAUUGAUAAUCCCCGUUAAACCUCACCUUUUUUAGCUACUGUUCAGCCUGUAUACCGCCGUCGUCAGCUUACCCCCUAAAGGCCACAUGAGUAAGCAAAACUGGCCCAGCCCAAAACGUCAGGUCGAGGUGCAGCUCACAAGAAGGGAAGAGAUGGGCUACAUUUCCUAUACAGGAAAUACGAAUAAUGCAUUGAAACAUGCAUAUUGAAGGAGGAUUUAGCAGUAAGUAAAAAAUAGAGUGUUUUACUGAAAAAGGUCUUAAAGUGCGUACACACCGCCCGUCACCCCCUGUGCAGUCAAAAAUUU